UACAGAGGGUGCGAGCGUUUGUUCGGAAUUCUGGGCGUAAAGCGCGCGCAGGCGGCCCUUUAAGUCCAUCGGUCAAAUGCCGGAGCUCAACUCCGUGCGUGCCGAGGAUACUGGAGGGCUGGAGACACGUAGAGGCAAGCGGAAUUCCGGGGUGUAGCGGUGGAAUGCGUUAGAGGAUCCGGAAGAACACCGGAGGCGAAGGCGGCUUGCUGGGCGUGAUCGUGACGCUGAGGCGCGAAAGCGUGGGGAGCGAACAGG
rnacentral:rRNA from 1 species